AACGAACGCUGGCGGCGCGUUUUAAGCAUGCAAGUCGAACGGGAUCCUGGUGCUUGCACUAGGUGAGAGUGGCGAACGGGUGAGUAACGCGUAGAUGAUCUGCCUUUCGGUCGGGGAUAGCCCAUGGAAACAUGGGGUAAUACCGGAUGAGCUCUUGGGGCUAUGGCCUUAGGAUGAAAGGGGCUUCGGCCUCGCCGAAAGAUGAGUCUGCGUAUGAUUAGCUAGUUGGUGGGGUAAAGGCCUACCAAGGCGACGAUCAUUAGCCGGCCUGAGAGGGUGACCGGCCACAUUGGGACUGAGACACGGCCCAGACUCCUACGGGAGGCAGCAGCUAAGAAUCUUCCGCAAUGGGCGAAAGCCUGACGGAGCGACGCCGCGUGGGUGAAGAAUGCGGAGACGUUGUAAAACCCUUUUAUCGCAGAAGAAUAACCCUUGGAGGUAAUGCCAGGGGGAUGACGUUAUGCGAUGAAUAAGCACCGGCCAAUUACG
rnacentral:rRNA from 1 species